rnacentral:rRNA from 1 species
CCUACGGGAGGCAGCAGUGAGGAAUAUUGGUCAAUGGACGAGAGUCUGAACCAGCCAAGUAGCGUGAAGGAUGACUGCCCUAUGGGUUGUAAACUUCUUUUAUAUGGGAAUAAAAUGUUCCACGUGUGGGAUUUUGUAUGUACCAUAUGAAUAAGGAUCGGCUAACUCCGUGCCAGCAGCCGCGGUAAUACGGAGGAUCCGAGCGUUAUCCGGAUUUAUUGGGUGUAAAGGGAGCGUAGGUGGAUUGUUAAGUCAGUUGUGAAAGUUUGCGGCUCAACCGUAGAAUUGCAGUUGAAACUGGCAGUCUUGAGUACAGUAGAGGUGGGCGGAAUUCGUGGUGUAGCGGUGAAAUGCUUAGAUAUCACGAAGAACUCCGAUUGCGAAGGCAGUUCACUGGACUGCAACUGACACUGAGGCUCGAAAGUGUGGGUAUCAAACAGGAUUAGAUACCCUUGUAGUC